rnacentral:tRNA from 1 species
GGUGGGGUGUCCGAGCGGUUUAAGGAGACAGUCUUGAAAACUGUUAUACUCGCAAGAGUAUCGUGGGUUCGAAUCCCACCCCCACCGCCA